AGACGGAGGGGGCUAGCGUUGUUCGGAAUUACUGGGCGUAAAGCGCGCGUAGGCGGUUAUUCAAGUUGAGGGUGAAAUCCCAGGGCUCAACCCUGGAACUGCCUUCAAAACUGAAUUGACUUGAGAUCGGGAGAGGAGAGUGGAAUUCCCAGUGUAGAGGUGAAAUUCGUAGAUAUUGGGAAGAACACCAGUGGCGAAGGCGGCUCUCUGGCCCGACUCUGACGCUGAGGUGCGAAAGCGUGGGGAGCAAACAGGAUUAGAAACCCCGGUAGUCC
rnacentral:rRNA from 1 species